rnacentral:misc_RNA from 1 species
GAAAUGCGAUAAUUAAUGUGAAUUGCAGAAUUCAGUGAAUCAUCGAGUCUUUGAACGCACAUUGCGCCCCCUGGUAUUCCGGGGGGCAUGCCUGUCCGAGCGUCAUUGCUGCCCUCAAGCACGGCUUGUGUGUUGGGCUUCCGUCCCUGGCAACGGGGACGGGCCCAAAAGGCAGUGGCGGCACCAUGUCUGGUCCUCGAGCGUAUGGGGCUUUGUCACCCGCUCACGUAGGUCCAGCUGGCAGCUAGCCUCGCAACCAAUCUUUUUAACCAGGUUGACCUCGGAUCAGGUAGGGAUACCCGCUGAACUUAAGC